CGGAAACAAUGAGCUAAAAAAAGAAAAGAAAUAGAGAAAACAAGAAUCUUGAAUUUUCAUUUUUACUAAAUUUUCAACUUGGUGUAUGAAGAGGAUCCAAUAUCCUUGUCUUUGGUGGGGACUCACACACAUACACUUCUCUUUUAAACUCAAUAGUAGUACUAAUUUGUUUUUUCCUAUGUCUCUUUAUUCCUCUCUUUGUCAAUGUUUUAAUGCUUUGCCUUUUUUCAUCUAAACAAAAAGCCCAAAAAAUAACAACAACAACAAAAAAAAAAUAAAAAAAUACAACUUUUAAACAAGUGUGCUACUUUUUUUUUUUCCUUUACUCUCUCUCCAAUGAUCUUAUCUUCAUUUAUUUCAUGUUAUAACUUAUUUUUCUCUAAAUUUUCUUUCAUCUUUCUUAAACUAAAAAUACUCACAAAACAGAAAACAGUUUCUGUCAUGUCACUUCUUAUUCUGUGCUACAACUUUCUUGAAAUUAAAAAAAAGGUGUUAAGAUACCUCUAGUGAAAUUGUGUUGCCGAGUCGAACCAAGAUUUGAACUUUAUGAGUUCUAAUUGAAUUCUAAGAAAGCAACAUCAGGUGUGUGUUAGUAACUGAGUUUUUUUUUUACUUGUUUAGUGAAUUUCUUAAUACAAAUACAGAGUUCGAACUAAAGUUACUAGGUUCCGCAGAACCAUAGUUUGGCUUCUAGCUCCGUCCGUGAUUGUGUUCAUUUGCUUCCUUGAUGUUUUCCAGUUUCUCAAAUUUUUUCUGAUGUUGCCUUUUGUUGCCCAGGUUCUUCCAAAAAGUUGAAUUUUGCUAGAGUUCAAUAAGUUUUGGAGUUCUUCUAAUUAUUUGUCUUAGUGCAUUAAACUGUAAUUCCGUAGGUAUUGUAUUUCUCAUUUCAACCUUUAAGUUUAGCACUAUGUUGUUGAACUAAGCUUUUUCCUACACGAUUAAACUGACCUUUGAGUCAUUACUGCGAUAACAACCAGUUGUAAUUAAGGUUCAACAUGAGCUUGAGCUUGGUGUAGAUCUUUUCCCAUAUGUGAACAAAUGAUGUACUUUUAUUUGA